rnacentral:rRNA from 1 species
AUUGAACGCUGGCGGCAUGCCUAACACAUGCAAGUCGAACGGUAACAGGUUAAGCUGACGUGUGGCGAACGGGGGAGUAAUGUAUCGGAACUUGCCCAGUCGCGGGGGAUAACUGCUCGCAUGAGCAGCUAAUACCGCAUACGACCUGCGGGCGAAAGCGGGGGGUCGCAAGUCCUCGCGCGAUUGGAGCUGCCGUUAUCCGAUUAGGUAGUUGGUGAGGUAAAGGCUCACCAAGGCGACGAUCUGUAGCUGGUCUGAGAGGACGACCAGCCACACUGGAACUGAGACACGGCCCAGACUCCUACGGGAGGCAGCAGUGGGGAAUUUUGGACAAUGGGCGCAAGCCUGAUCCAGCCAUGCCGCGUGCGGGAAGAAGGCCUUCGGGUUGUAAACCGCUUUUGUCAGGGAAGAAAAGGUUCUGGCUAAUACCUGGGACUCAUGACGGUACCUGAAGAAUAAGCACCGGCUAACUACGUG